GGAUUCGCCAGCCUAGCGUGGAGGCGGAGGAAGGCGCAGAUCCCAUAAGAAGCAGGUGCCUGCACUAGAGACAGAGGGGUUGCUCACCUAUGGGAAACAGCAGAGAUUUGGGGGAUUUUCAAGCAAACUAUAAAGUAUACAUCCAGCUUCUGAUUCAAUCUCCACGUAAAGUUUCAGAGGAAAUUAUGACACACAACAAAGAAAACACUGGAGUACAAACUGACAUGAGUGUGAUUUUGCCAUAAAAUCAUCAGCACCUCAGGAAGGUUUCCUCUCCACAAUCUCACAAUGCUGCCUGGCUUUCUUCCCUGUUGAGAUGCUAUGCCAUUUGCUUAAGUGUCCUGUACUAUAUGUACGAAGCUCUUUCUUAAUUAAAACUUCACAACUAAAAUAGAGUGGUGAGGAUAGGGAAUGUAUGUACAUCUGUCCAUCACACUGGACUUGUAUAGAGCUACAAAGCUGUUUUUCAAAGGUGGUGGUAUGUAUAUGACAAACGUUUCAUUUUUUCAGAUCAUAGGCCAUUGUCCUUGAUAGCCUUCCUUGUUGUGUCCCUGAAGCAGCAGCUUGGCAUUUCAUCAGCUUGACUGAUGGAUCAGCAAGCCUCCAGCAUCUUUCAGGAUCUGCCCAUCCUCCCUGGCUUGUUCAAGGCUACAGAUGCAAGGCCACACAAUACCUUGCUUUUAACAGGGGUUCUAGGAUUGAAACUCACAUCCUCAUACUUAGUUGGCCACUUUACCAUCUGACUCAUCUUUCCAUUUUAUGCUUUUCCGUUUUUAUAGCCCUUGUUAUUUGACUGGCUUAUUAGGUCAAACUACAAAUAGCAAAAAUAAAGAAACAAUCUAGAGAAAAUGUUCAUUGUUGAGUGGUACUGAGUACUACCCUCAACAAUACUGCAUAGUUAACAUGUGCUAAUUUCUCACAAAUGAUAAGACAGUAUCUGAGAUAAAUUUUAACUCAUAUCUGCCUAUGUGAUAGGAAAUUUUAAACUGAAAUGAAGCCCACCAUUCGAGGAAACCCCUCACAAUGAACUGUUAAAGAAGGUUCCCAAAUAAGUAAUGAAUAUCAUUGUUUUUCUUCCAAUUUUAUACCCUGAUUUUGUCUAGUAGCUGAACUCUGCAAAUAAAGUAAGAGUUGAAAAC
rnacentral:lncRNA from 1 species